AUGGCUUCCAGAAUCUAUGCUCAUCUCUUCGGUACCUUUCUUCUUCAAUAUCCAUCUCAAAUCGUCUUAUUAGUCGUCGUCGUCUUCUUUUGUGUCCGAUCUCCGCUGCACAUACACACUCGCUGUGAAUCUACCGGAAAAUUAUUCGGAGUAUCUUCAAAGAUGGCAAGAUCGAAGAGAAUUCUGGAGAAACAAGUUCGUACAAGAUUUAUUUUCAAUUCUUCUUUUCUUGUUUUCGAUUCCGUGUUCCUGUUUAUUUGUGUUGUGUUGACGUAG